ACCAAAAACACAAUAUUUUCGUAGAGGUUAACACAUGGAUUUUGAGAAAAUUUCAAAAAAUAUGACAAUAUUGUUUUAAUGCAUAGUUGCAUCCUGCACUAACAUAUGAUGAUGUUCAAAGAGGUUUGGAGCCUUUGUUGUCUCCGUUUUUCAAGAAAAUAUUGAUUUUACAGUGGUUAUUCCAUCGAUUUAAGGAGUAUUAAGAAGUUUUACUAAAUUAAUUGAUAAACAAAAUUAUAAAGAUUCCCAUAUACCAUGAAAUAGAGCUUAAAAUACAUUAAUACAAAAGUAGAAUGUGGUUAGAAAUUUUAGAACAACA